rnacentral:lncRNA from 1 species
AUAUAAAGAUGAAUGGACAUAUACAUCAAUUUUAAGAACCCAUUAACAAAAAAAAAUUCAGACACUCAAUUAGCUAGCUAACAACUGUUCUUUACGAAGAGUUGAAAGAAACUUACAACCAAUGGAAACCUUAGAAAUAUCAAGGCUAUGAUGCACUAGCGAAAAUCCAUUAAACUGACCAGAGCUUUUAACUUUGAUAGAUUGGCUAUUCUUAUUAGAAAUCGAUUGUUAACAUUCAUGAAUUCAGCAUUAUAUUAAUGGUUAGAAAGUUAUGGAUCGAAUAUAAAUGCCAAAGAAAGCAGGUGUGAGGUGGUCAUUUGCUGAAUCAGCAGGAUGGAUCCAUGAUGGAUGGGAUCGUGCAAGUCUAAAGAAUUCUUCUGUAGUGAGUGUUCGUUGAGGCGAUCUAUAGGACAAAAUAGCAGAAUUGUAUAAAAGAA